ensembl:lncRNA
AUUACACUCUGUCCUCAGAAGGAAGAGACUGCCAGGUUCCCCUUACCUGGCACCAGAAGGCCCCAAUAGACUCCACUGUCUACACGGAUGUUUGAGGCCAGCAACCAGUCUGCAGUGAGGUCACAGUGGACUUCUGAGUUGUGGGUUACCAAGGAGGACUACUCAUUGGCCAGGGAGAGAGUUCAGACUUCCAACAGGGCUGCUUGCAGGCUUCUCGCCUCCCAAGAGUCCCUCAGCCCAUGGAGCAGGUUGGUCAGUGGCCAGGCACAUGGGGACAGAGGCACCUGGGAGACACAGCACAUGCUGGGUCAUAAGGAGAAGAACCCUGAUAACUUGGACGGACAGUCUGCAAGCCGUGAAAAGUCCAGCUGCCUCCAGCCCCACGGGCCAGCGCUCGGUUCCCAUGACACUCACUGGCAGCGUUAAUAACUAACCACGGCCCAGACAGGUGUUGGCAGCCGGGCCUCAGGAGUUCUUGUUCAGGGGUGGAAACAACCAACACUCGUGACAUCUGAUCGGGCAGCACUGGUGUCUCCGGCAGGCGUGAGACUGACAGGCAGAGAGAAGAUGACACUGUUUCUUGCCUCAGAAGCUUCCAGGUGUCACAGCCUAGUUUACCUCUGCACUGUCUCACUUCUACAUGGCCCCCAGACUUCCCAAACUGCACUGUGAAAUCUGUCUGCUGCAGCCAUGGCUUUGGCUGCCCUUCCUAGAGUCCCUGGAACAAUUUCACUAUUAAUUAUGGUGGUGGCAGAGAUGGUCAUUGGAGCCACAGCACCUCUGUCCCCAGCACACACAUGCGUGAUUGGAUGGAGCUGAGGACACAGCAUGUCCUCCCUGGACGUCCAACUUUUCCUCAGUGGACACACUCCUCCCUGCUGCUGACCUCAUGCAGGAAUCCUGGGGGCUGUGAGGCCGUGAAUGUGACAGUUCUUUGAAAGGAAGUUUGCAAAGCCAGAACCAGUGGGGAGAUGGGGAGAGGCCCUCCUAUGAAGCCAUGAUGCCACAGAAGAUUGUGUGGAUUGCCUGAAUGAGGGAGUCAUGGCUGCUGAGAAUCAGUGCCUGUGAUUUUCAGCUCCUCACAGAAUCACUGUCAAUCUGCUCUCAGAGAUGGGAAACCAAAGUCCAUGAAGAGGUCGUCAGCCCAUCGUCACAACGUGAGAAAGUAAUAGGAGGUGGAUGUGAAGCCAGGCCAUCUGGGUCCCUGCUCCUUACCACUGCACUAGACAAGACAGUGACCAACUCACAACACAAUCUGCCUGGUUGCGAAUCUCUGCACAGCACCCUCCUUCUAAACUCCACGGGAGAAACAGAAACAAUCUGUUGUCUCCCAUAAAACACACCUACAUUCUGAGCUUCCAGCCAGCAUGAAACUCACAGCCAGAAUCAGAGCCACUGUGGAUGGAGACGUCUAGAAAACUAUGGGCAAAUCCAGCCUUAUGUGAAAGGAAGGGGUGUCUGCUUCACACGCUGCACUGUCAGGACCAGACUUCAGUCAGCAGCACCCGGAAAUGUGUAGGAGCCCACUUAAUCCUACGGCCAAUCUGUGCCCUGGAAAGCCAGCAGGUCGAUCCACCUGUCCCCUACACCCACAGGCUGUGAGUCACCUGCCUGAAGGUUCUUCCUGCACACUGUCUGAAAGACCUGUGUGUCCUGCAAUGGACUCCAUGUCUGCAGUGCAGGUAGCAGGAGCGGACACGGAACCUGCUGAGAAGCUGGGACAACUCACUAUCACUCAAAACAGCAACAGGCCACGGUCAUGGUUCAGAGCUGGCUUUCAAUCCCAGCUCCUCUGCAAAUUACCUGUGCAACACUGGACGAAUGACUGUACCUUGAUUUUCUCAUCUGGAGGCUGGGCAUCAGGUAACUCACGGCUAGAGCUGUGAGGGGCCAAAUGAGUUAACCAAAUCACAGCCAUGGAACGCAGCCUGGCCAGAGUUAAUAAAUACUGGAUGUACUUAUAAGCCUGGGCCCCUGAACCUCUUCUGCUCGCUACCUGCAAGGUGCCUGCUGAC